rnacentral:misc_RNA from 1 species
GAUGAAGAACGCAGCGAAAUGCGAUAAGUAAUGUGAAUUGCAGAAUUCAGUGAAUCAUCGAAUCUUUGAACGCACCUUGCGCCCUUUGGACAUUCCGAAGGGCAUGCCUGUUUGAGUAUCAUGAACACCUCAACUCUCACGGCUUGUCCGUGAUGAGCUUGGACUUUGGGGGUCUUGCCGGCCUGUGGUCGGCUACUCUCAAAUGGAUCAGCUUGCCAGUGUUUGGUGGCAUCACAGGUGUGAUAACUAUCUGCGCUUGUGGUUUUCCAUCAGAUAACCUUCAGUGAUAUGGAGGUUCGCUGGAGCUCACAAAUGUCUCUCCUUAGUGAGGACAGCUCUUUGAACGUUUGAUCUCAAAUCAGGUAGGACUACCCGCUGAACUUAAGCAUAUCAAUAAGCGGAGGA